rnacentral:rRNA from 1 species
UACGUAGGGGGCUAGCGUUGUCCGGAAUCAUUGGGCGUAAAGCGCGUGUAGGCGGUUCGGUAAGUCCGCUGUGAAAGUCGGGGGCUCAACCCUCGGAUGCCGGUGGAUACUGUCGGGCUCGAGUCCGGAAGAGGCGAGUGGAAUUCCUGGUGCAGCGGUGAAAUGCGCAGAUAUCAGGAGGAACACCGAUGGCGAAGGCAGCUCGCUGGGACGGUACUGACGCUGAGACGCGAAAGCGUGGGGAGCAAACAGG